UGGGGAAUUUUGGACAAUGGAGGAAACCCUGAUCCAGCCAUGCCGCGUGAGUGAAGAAGGCCUUCGGGUUGUAAAGCUCUUUCGGCCGGGAAGAAAUCGCACAGGCUAAUACUCUGUGUGGAUGACGGUACCGGCAUAAGAAGCACCGGCUAACUACGUGCCAGCAGCCGCGGUAAUACGUAGGGUGCGAGCGUUAAUCGGAAUUACUGGGCGUAAAGCGUGCGCAGGCGGUUAGAUAAGUUUGAUGUGA
rnacentral:rRNA from 1 species